UUUUUCGGCUAGCAAAGGUGAGUUUGCAUGUCCUAGUCUUGCCUUUCUUUUGUGUUUUUUUGGUUUCGGUAUUUCAUAUUAACCAUUUAUGUGUUGCUUGCUUGAGGUUUUUGGUUUCUUAUUCUCAGUGGUGAUGAUGUCGAGAAGUAGGAGAGAAUUUGUGAUGGAUUGAUUCGUAUAUUUGAUCUAUGGUUUUUGCGAAAGAUAUGGUGAGAUUGUUGAUGUGAACCUGGUUAGAGAUAAAGGCACAGGAAAAUCGAAAGUGGUUUGAUUUCAUUUCUCUAGGGUUCUUAAUUAAUAUUAUUCAUGGUUUAACUUUUUUUUUUAUUUAAAUUGUGCUGAACGGGCUCGAAUUGCUCUUAACAAGAUUCCAGGUAUAUAUAUUCGUCAUUGCUAUUUGCCUGAUGGUUCCAUUCAGGCAGGACAUCUUACAUUUCUAGGUGAUUGGUAAUGUAUCGUUCAGAGGGGAUGGGUAAUGGGUCAAAUGGAUAGAGUUUUGAAAGAUGCACAUCUUUGGUAAUGGGUCAAAGUAUAUUUGGGUUAAAAUAAUUUUUCAUUGUGGGUUGAAUUAUGUAUAAUGAAAAAAUGAUGUUGAAAAAUGAGAUUUCAUUGCUGUAAAAUGGUAGUUAAAGUGCUGAAAAGCAUGCUACAAAUUGAUGAUGAUAUUGUUGGUUGAUCAAAGCAACGUUAUGUGUUUACAAACGAGUGUGUUUGAUUAAAGCUUCUAAGUAAUCCUAUUACGUUUAUUUAAUAUAACUCCGGUAUUUUUGUUCAUUUGCAGGCUAACAAGAGAUCUGGGCACUCCAAAUAAGUGAGACAGGCAAGAGUAUGUAAGACAUCCGCAAACAUCUUUUUCCGUACCUUAUUUAUGUAUUAUUUUUAAUUCCCACUCACCGGAUAAUAUUGCAUUUAAUUGAAGGGUGAAAGGCUCUUCUAUGCACGAGUGCAUACCAGUAAAUGCUUUAUUCUCAAAAUCAAGUUUUUUA